GAGUAGCUGGGACUGCAGGCGCCCGCCACCAUGCCUGGCUAAUUUUUUGUAUGUUUAGUAGAGACGGGGUUUCACCGUGUUAGCCAGGAUGGUCUCUAUCUCCUGACCUUGUGAUCUGCCUGCCUCGGCCUCCCGAAGUGCCGGGAUUACAAGCGUGAGCCACCAUUCCCGGCCCAAAGAGGAGAAGAAGUAUGAAGUGCUUGCUUGGACCUUUCUACUGUGCUUAUUAUUCUGUCUUCUCCUCAUGGCAAAUGCUUCCUGUCCUUGAACAUCAGACUUCAAGUUCUUCAGUUUUGGGACUUGGACUGGCCCCUUGCUCCUCAGCUUCCCAAUGGCCUACUGUGGGACCUUGUGAUCAUAAGCUGACAAACGGUUUAUAUCAGAAGGUGGAAUCGUGGGUAUGGUCGAUGUGGCAGGUCCUAAACAUAAAUUGGAUUUCUUUUUUAUUUUCAUUUAUUAAAUACAGAAGAAAUAUUUCGCUGAAGACACAGGAAACCCUAUUUUGUAUAAACGAGGGAUUGCAAGAGAUUGUUGGAAGAUCAAAGAUGGGUGAAUUGGAGCUCUUCCUGAGAACAAAAAGGAUUUAUGAAGGAAAAAGCAGCUAAUCAAAGAAGUUCUGAGUUUAAAUUCUGUUUUGUCCACUUACUAGCCAUUUGGCCUUGGGCAAGUCACUUUACUGGACCUCAGUUUCCUUGUAUGUGAAAGGUUUUGGUAAAAAUCAUAUUAGUUAAAGAAUGUAAAGAGUUUUAUAAAUUACAAAGUGAUUAAAAAAAGUAAAAUGUAUUGUUGUUUAGGAACAAUGAAAAAAAAAGAAACCUUGACAUUUUUUCUUCAAGUUCUUGCCUAAAAUGUUUAUUUGUUUGGCCCUUUUUAGAUUUAACAAAUUCUAUGUGUCUAAAUAUCAGUGUAGACCCCUUCUUACCCUACUGGAUUUAUAAGGUACUAAAAGUAGAUAUGCAUCUCUUCUGUCUUGGUUCGCUCUAAAAUGGGAUGUUUGCAAACCUCUUGGUUUUUCUUUUUUAAUAUGGAUGAAGCUUAUAUUAAUUUUUGGCUUGGUAUUAAAUUUUGUUUGGAAUAUUAUUAA
ensembl:lncRNA novel transcript